UACGAAGGGGGCUAGCGUUGCUCGGAAUCACUGGGCGUAAAGGGUGCGUAGGCGGGUCUUUAAGUCAGGGGUGAAAUCCUGGAGCUCAACUCCAGAACUGCCUUUGAUACUGAAGAUCUUGAGUUCGGGAGAGGUGAGUGGAACUGCGAGUGUAGAGGUGAAAUUCGUAGAUAUUCGCAAGAACACCAGUGGCGAAGGCGGCUCACUGGCCCGAUACUGACGCUGAGGCACGAAAGCGUAGGGAGCGAACAGG
rnacentral:rRNA from 1 species